rnacentral:rRNA from 1 species
CACCAGCCCCUCGAGUGGUGGGGAUGAUUAUUUGGCCUAAAGCGUCCGUAGCCGGCCGGGUAAGUUUCCCGUUAAAUCCAGCGUCUCAAGCGUUGGACUGCGGGAAAUACUGCCUGGCUAGAGAGUGGGAGAGGUGUACGGUAUUCCGGGGGUAGGGGCGAAAUCCUUUGAUCCCCGGAGGACCACCAGUGGCGAAGGCUGUACACUAGAACACGUCUGACGGUCAGGGACGAAAGCUGGGGUAGCGAACCGGAUUAGAUACCCGGGUAGUCCCAGCUGUAAACGAUGCGUGCUAGGUGUUGGGUUGGCCACGAGCCACCCCAGUGCCGCAGGGAAGCCGUUAAGCAUGCCGCCUGGGAAGUACGAUCGCAAGAUUGAAACUUAAAGGAAUUGGCGGGGGAGCACCACGAAGGGUGAAGCUUGCGGUUU